rnacentral:rRNA from 1 species
UGGGGAAUAUUGCACAAUGGGCGCAAGCCUGAUGCAGCCAUGCCGCGUGUAUGAAGAAGGCCUUCGGGUUGUAAAGUACUUUCAGUCGGGAGGAAGGUGUCAAGGUUAAUAACCUUGGCAAUUGACGUUACCGACAGAAGUAGCACCGGCUAACUCCGUGCCAGCAGCCGCGGUAAUACGGAGGGUGCAAGCGUUAAUCGGAAUUACUGGGCGUAAAGCGCACGCAGGCGGUUGAUUGAGUCAGAUGUGAAAUCCCCGGGCUUAACCCGGGAAUUGCAUCUGAUACUGGUCAGCUAGAGUCUUGUAGAGGGGGGUAGAAUUCCAGGUGUAGCGGUGAAAUGCGUAGAGAUCUGGAGGAAUACCGGUGGCGAAGGCGGCCCCCUGGACAAAGACUGACGCUCAGGUGCGAAAGCGUGGGGAGCAAACAGG